GAUUUCUUCUUAUAUGAGACAUCCCUACAAUCUCUACGCCCGGGCAGAAUCCUCGCCCUCUCGUGGCUCUGAGGCUUUCCGCGUGCGCUUCUUGCGAAGUGGGGUUGGGUUGUCAGCGAGGGGGCCUGUGGCGGUUCGUCGUUCCUGCGUGUCCGACGCGCUUCGGUCCGCGGGGUCGGUGCGGGGUGUUACGUGGCUGUUGCCUGUGUUCCUUUUCGGUCUGGUUAGUCUUCGUCUUUCCUAUCCUCGCCUGGUUCCUUCCAUGGGGGGUUUCGCCUGCCGAUUCGCCGCUGUUCUCGCUUUCUGCUCCGACGGCCGUGGCUCCUGGUUCCGGCGGUUGUCUUGCUGUGGGUUCGUGCUUCCGCCGGUUCCCUCUUCGUCUUGUUGGUUCGUAUUGGAGGUUCGUCUGGUGGGAGUUGGUGGGAUCUGGUAGUUUGGCGCUGUCUCCGUCGUGGCUGAUUGUGUUGUGCUGCCUCUUUCUCCGUUGAUUGCUGGUCGUCUUUCCGUCUGUUUGAGAGGUAUGUGCUUCCCUUCUCUGCUGUCGGGUUGUUCUGCGGAUUUUCUUUUCCCCAUUCUUUGUUUUGUACUUCUUGCGCUGGUUUGUCAGGGCGUCUGUUUUUUUUUGGGUUUUCCCUUUGGCUGUACGCGUUUUAGUGGCCAUGGAUUGCGAGUCUUCUUCGAGGAAGCGCGCCCGCCGUCGCCCUGUGCGGGCUGAUUCGUCUUCGUCAAGUGGGUGUGAUGCUGGUUCCGGCGGUGCUUCUAGCCGUUCUGUUAAGCGGUCUGGUACCUGGUUCGGCCUGGAUUUGUGUUGCUGUGGGUGUGUUUGCUGCGUUGAUUCUGUUAGGGUUUUGAUUCGCAUAAUCAUCUAUCCCAAAGGGGAACAAUUUCUCGGUUCCUCCUUCCUCCACGACGUCGCGCAGCGCCUCGCUAUCGAUUUUGUCCCCGCUUGUCAGCCGCUGCCGGCGGCUUUAGUAGCCUCGCCCGUGCUCGGUGGUGCCCCUCAUGUCAGUCGUGGACGCGUCGCUGUCGGCGGCUUUAGCCUUGCCCGCGUCUGGAUUCUUCUUCGUGCGCUGCGCUGUCAACUAGGGCAGCUUCUCCAUCGCGGGUGGUGGCUCGAUCUCUUCUCGUUUCUUCUUCCCUCGGUGCUGGCAUGUCUGGGUCCUUCUCGGUGCUUAAUUGGUGUCCUGCUACGCGUCGCCCCGCUGGGUGCCGGCUCCGGCGGCGCCCUGGCUAUAUAAGCGCCUCGAGCUAUCGGUUUCUGCAUCUCUCGGCCGGUGGCAGGAGGCUGGUCUGGGACACGAGAAGCACAGAGAGGGACUAAUUUGAAGGAAGUGACGGCCGGAGCAUGGAGGAGGCAUCGCCGACCGAUUCCCUGGGAUUUUCUUGAAGGUGGGGAAAAUACCCACGUCAGGUUAAGAAUCUGAAGGACAAAAUGCCCUGGCCUGGAGAUGGAAGAGAGUAGCGUAGGGAGCAAGCAUGGAUGACAAUUAAAAAGGUCUGGGCAUCGAAUGGAAUGAAAGGGCAUACUUCAGCACACGCAAGGUGAAGCUUGAUUAUGACUACCUUUCCAUGGUUGUUCUUGUACAAGACAUGUCAAGGCAGACUAUGCUUUCGUUAUUCACACUACCAACCGUCCUCUGGAGAUUCUUCCGAGAUAUACGCUGAAGUGGUGAAAGGACUUGGAGAGACACUUGUGGGAGCGUAUCCUGGUCGUGCUAUGAGCUUCGUAUGUAAAAAAGAUGACCUUAACUCUCCCAAGGUGAAAUUAUCUGCAAAUAUAUGUUAGUAUUGUCAUCUGUUAUACUCUACCUUAGCUGAUCGAGUCCAUUAAUAGGUACUAGGUUACCCAAGCAAGCCAAUUGGCCUCUUCAUAAAGUGAUCAUCAAUCAUCUUCCGUUCAUACUCUAAUGGGCAGGGCUGUAUGAUAGGUUAGUGAGAAUCCUUCACGAAAUGUGGUUGAUUCUUUUUAUACAUACUAGCACCAGUUCAUUUCUGCCAUGGAUAUUUAUUUGACAAGGCUGAGUUCUUUUGGAAAGCAAUUUGUAAUUUGUCCAAUUAUACUUAAUAGAGGGAUAAAAAAUGAUCUUGCUCAAAAUUGUACAGCAUAUAUACUAUCUAUUUGGAGUUGAUGUAUAUUAUCGCCACAAAACUCGAAUCAUAUAUCUCGAUUUGUUAAACUUCCUGAUACUCAAAUCUCCAGCAAACUCGCACCUCUUUUGGUGGUCAAUGUACAGGUGUAUUAUAAUUGUGCCAUAUAGUUAUGUGUCUAUCCAAAUUUAGCCUGCUUCAGGGUGAAGGUUCUGCAUACAAUUCCUUUUUAGUGAUGCUCAGUUUGUGUAGUCAUUACACAUGAAAACUCUUGUUUGUUUAGGUAAAAUUUUAUAAACUGUGUGUAUACAUGCUUCAAGUUAUCUUUGUUGUAGCUGUUAUUCUGCUUUUAAUACGAUUUGCAAUUUACAUAAUAUAAUAGUAGUAUUUAAAACGAUAACAUGUUUUUUCUUUUUAAAUUGCUUAUGCAUUUAGUGAUACCUAGGAGGAACUAGGCACAGUUUAAUUAACUGGAAUAGUGGGUACUCAAAUUCACGUUGAAGGGGAAUUGCUGUACUCUUGAAUUAAAAGGAAACUUGUUGUACUCUACUACUCUUUCCUCACCGCCUGGCUUCCAUCUCCCUUGCAACUUGUUACUUGCAAAAUGCACAGACUUGGCAUCUUGAUUUCUCCUUUUGUUGUUUCUUGUGAUUUUUGUGAUUUCCUCAACCUUCAGAUCUAAGUGAACUUAUAAUUUUUUUUCUGCAAAAAAAAAAGUGAACUUUAAUUUUGGGGUUUGUUCUUGGGACUUGAAAGAGGAAAUUCAUCCUAGCUUCACCGUUGAAAACUGAACAAGGCAUGUGAGAAUGUACCUUAAGCCUUUUUUAUAUGGUAGCAGUCAUCUUACAUGCAUAUUUCAUGGAUAAUAAUAUUAGAUGAGGUACUGAACUUUCAGAUCGCAGGAGAAUUGGGUGCAGUGCUAACCGUUGUUAAAAAUUUGGUCAAAUUCAGUUCCUAUGAGUGGCUGGAGAUGUAAAUCAAGAAGAUCAUGCACUGCAUGAUCUGCUUCUUUUGCUAGCUGCACAUUUGAUGGAUUAGCUGGAGAUAAAGCCAUCUUAAAAGUGAUGAUGAGAAACCUGCCACAAGGAUAUUAUUUUGCACUCUGAGCAUUGCAGGUCAUUAAGUUGGUGUAUGACUUAAAAUCUUGGAUUCCUUGUGUUAAAGUUGGUAAUCAAAAUUGUAACAACAUUAUGUGCUAAAGUUCUUUGUGUUUUCUACGGAGCCCUUAUUGUGGAUCCUUCAUGGCUGCAACUCAUCUCUCCAAAGCCAGACAUAGUGAGGCUGAUGCACGGUAGCAUGAUUCUGUCAUAGAAUAUGUAGUAGGAUCUUUUCCUUGUUUUUUUGCACCAUUGUACAAAGUGACUUCAUUUGUUAAGUCUGUUUUGGUUAGCAAAAGAGUUUGCAUGCCUUUUCC